ACCUGAUCCCAUGCCGAACUCAGAAGUGAAACGCGGUAGCGCCGAUGGUAGUGUGGCAUUCGCCAUGCGAGAGUAGGACACUGUCAGGC
rnacentral:rRNA from 1 species